ACAGAGGUCCCAAGCGUUGUUCGGAUUUACUGGGCGUAAAGGGUGCGUAGGUGGUCGGGUAAGUCUGGUGUGAAAUCUCGGAGCUCAACUCCGAAACUGCAUUGGAUACUAUCCGGCUCGAGGUUGGGAGGGGGGACUGGAAUUCUCGGUGUAGCAGUGAAAUGCGUAGAUAUCGAGAGGAACACCAGUGGCGAAGGCGAGUCCCUGGACCAAUCCUGACGCUGAGGCACGAAAGCCAGGGGAGCAAACGG
rnacentral:rRNA from 1 species